rnacentral:rRNA from 1 species
UUCCGGUUGAUCCUGCCGGAGGCUAUUGCUAUCAGGGUUUGACUAAGCCAUGCGAGUCGAGAGGUGAAAGACCUCGGCAUACUGCUCAGUAACACGUGGAUAAUCUGCCCUCAGAAGAAGAAUAAUCCCGGGAAACUGGGGCUAAUACUUCAUAGGAGACGGGUGCUGGAAUGCUCUGUCUCUGAAAGGUCCGCCGUCUGAGGAUGAGUCUGCGUCCGAUUAGGUUGUUGUUGGGGUAACGGCCCAACAAGCCUUUGAUCGGUACGGGUUGUGGGAGCAAGAGCCCGGAGAUGGAUUCUGAGACAUGAAUCCAGGCCCUACGGGGCGCAGCAGGCGCGAAAACUUUACAAUGCGAGCAAUCGUGAUAAGGAAACCCUGAGUGCCUGUCAACGCAGGCUGUUCUGGUGUCUAACACACACCAGGAGAAAGGGCGGGGCAAGACCGGUGCCAGCCGCCGCGGUAAUACCGGCUGCUCGAGUGAUAGCCACUUUUACUGGGCUUAAAGCGUUCGUAGCUUGGUCGUUAAGUCUCUGGGGAAAUCUUUUGGCUCAACCAAAAGGCGUCUCAGGGAAACUGGCGACCUAGGAACCGGGAGAGGUAAGACGUACUUCGGGGGUAGGAGUGAAAUCUUGUAAUCCCCGAGGGACGACCGAUGGCGAAGGCAUCUUACCAGAACGGCUUCGACAGUGAGGGACGAAAGCUGGGGGAGCAAACCGGAUUAGAUACCCGGGUAGUCCCAGCCGUAAACGAUGUGCGUUAGGUGUGUCAGCGACCACGAGUCGCUGAGGUGCCGAAGGGAAACCGUGAAACGCACCGCCUGGGAAGUACGGUCGCAAGGCUGAAACUUAAAGGAAUUGGCGGGGGAGCACCACAACGGG